GAUGAACGCUGGCGGCGUGCCUAAUACAUGCAAGUCGAGCGAACGGACGAGAAGCUUGCUUCUCUGAUGUUAGCGGCGGACGGGCGAGUAACACGUGGAUAACCUACCUAUAAGACUGGGAUAACUUCGGGAAACCGGAGCUAAUACCGGAUGAUAUUUUGAACCGCAUGGUUCACAAGUGAAAGAAGGUCUUGCUGUCACUUAUAGAUGGAUCCGCGCUGCAUUAGCUAGUUGGUAAGGUAACGGCUUACCAAGGCAACGAUGCAUAGCCGACCUGAGAGGGUGAUCGGCCACACUGGAACUGAGACACGGUCCAGACUCCUACGGGAGGCAGCAGUAGGGAAUCUUCCGCAAUGGGCGAAAGCCUGACGGAGCAACGCCGCGUGAGUGAUGAAGGUCUUCGGAUCGUAAAACUCUGUUAUUAGGGAAGAACAUAUGUGUAAGUAACUGUGCACAUCUUGACGGUACCUAAUCAGAAAGCCACGGCUAACUACGUG
rnacentral:rRNA from 1 species